UACGAAGGGGGCUAGCGUUGCUCGGAAUGACUGGGCGUAAAGGGCGCGUAGGCGGACAGCUUUGUCAGGCGUGAAAUUCCAGGGCUUAACCUUGGGGCUGCGUUUGAGACGGGUUGUCUUGAGUGGGGAAGAGGGUCGUGGAAUUCCUGGUGUAGUGGUGAAAUACGUAGAUAUCAGGAGGAACACCGGUGGCGAAGGCGGCGACCUGGUCCUAUACUGACACUCAUACACGAAAGCGUGGGGAUCAAACAGGG
rnacentral:rRNA from 1 species